CGAAAAACCGGCGAAGAAGAGCGCCGGCAAGAAAACCAAAGCCUCGAUUCACCGGACUAAUCCCGGUGCAGGUGACGCGUCGCGUCGUUUCAAAAGACCUGCGGCAGUGGUAAAAAGUUUCAAUUGGUGUUGUCAAUGCCAAAGGAUUCUAGCAGGCUCAAAUGAUCCGUCAAUGCUGGUAAUUGUAAAAGCUAUGACUUCUGGUAA
rnacentral:sRNA from 1 species